AAAAAGUUCGUUUUGGUUUU
rnacentral:miRNA from 1 species